AUUGAACGCUGGCGGCAGGCCUAACACAUGCAAGUCGAACGGUAACAGGAAGCAGCUUGCUGCUUCGCUGACGAGUGGCGGACGGGUGAGUAAUGUCUGGGAAACUGCCCGAUGGAGGGGGAUAACUACUGGAAACGGUAGCUAAUACCGCAUAACGUCGCAAGACCAAAGAGGGGGACCUUCGGGCCUCUUGCCAUCGGAUGUGCCCAGAUGGGAUUAGCUUGUUGGUGAGGUAACGGCUCACCAAGGCGACGAUCCCUAGCUGGUCUGAGAGGAUGACCAGCCACACUGGAACUGGGACACGGUCCAGACUCCUACGGGAGGCAGCAGUGGGGAAUAUUGCACAAUGGGCGCAAGCCUGAUGCAGCCAUGCCGCGUGUAUGAAGAAGGCCUUCGGGUUGUAAAGUACUUUCAGCGGGGAGGAAGGGGAUGUGGUUAAUAACCGCAUUCAUUGACGUUACCCGCAGAAGAAGCACCGGCUAACUCCGUGCCAGCAGCCGCCGCCGUAA
rnacentral:rRNA from 1 species